rnacentral:rRNA from 1 species
GACGGAGGGUGCUAGCGUUGUUCGGAAUCACUGGGCGUAAAGGGCGCGUAGGCGGCCUUGCACGUCGGCUGGUGAAAGCCCGGGGCUCAACCCCGGAGGUGCGGCCGAGACUGCAGGGCUGGAGGCCGGAAGAGGAGGGUGGAAUACCCAGUGUAGAGGUGAAAUUCGUAGAUAUUGGGAAGAACACCGGUGGCGAAGGCGGCUCACUGGCGCGUUACUGACGCUCAGGCACGACAGCGUGGGGAUCAAACAGG